CGGGUAGAGUAAUGCGUGACCAACCUGCCCCAUGCUCCAGAAUAGCUCUUGGAAACGGGUGGUAAUGCUGGAUGCUCCAACUUGACGCAUGUCUUGUUGGGAAAGUGUUUAGUGGCAUGGGAUGGGGUCGCGUCCUAUCAGCUUGUAGGCGGGGUAAUGGCCCACCUAGGCUUCGACGGGUAGCCGGCCUGAGAGGGCGGACGGCCACAUUGGGACUGAGAUACGGCCCAGACUCCUACGGGAGGCAGCAGCA
rnacentral:rRNA from 1 species